rnacentral:pre_miRNA from 1 species
AGGAGGAACAGCCCCAGUGGCGGGGCAGCUCUGGAAACCUGGAUUCAGCUCCGGCAGGAACUCCGUCUGCAGGGCCUGGAGGCUCCGGGCCGGU